CCGUCGGUUAGAAAAAGCAAAGCAAAGAAAAACGAAAAAACAGAAAAAAAAAAAAAAACACGGCUUGUCUCUUGUAUAAAGGUAGAAAACGAUAAUAUCGCAUAGUUUUUCGAUUAAUACUGGAAAUUUUAGGCUACGUAGAGGAACGUGUUUCGAUGGCCUCGUCCGUCAUCGUAUGUACAAUAAAGGUGACAAAGAAAAAAGGGAAAGAAAGGAGUAAGAUGAAAAAACGUUGUUUCGAUCGCGCGCGUGUGUGCGUGUGCGUGUACGUGUGUGUGUGUGUGUGUGUGUGUGUGUGUGUGUGUAUCGGUAGGGAACCGCGGAUCGGCACCAUCGGAACAACACACUGUGUCUUUCAACAUUGAAAACUGGAAAGCCUCCUGUCGCUUUUACUUGAUCGUUCGUUUCUGUGUAUAUCUGAUCGUUUCUUUUAGCGACCUAAUUUUUUUUUUUUUUUCCACGAUACCGACCGAGGUGGCGAUAAAUCGUCCGCGAUUAGGUGGAGACGGUGGGGUUGGUGGAGGGUGCCGUCGUUGUAAGAUUAUUAUUAUUGCGAAAAAUUCUCGUCAUCGCUCGAUUUAUACACGAUGACAGAACUGCAUAUGUAUCGUGACGAUCAAUUGCCACUUCGUUGCAUGAAUUGUGUUCCCAGCGUAUACGCUACGACGAGCCGAAACGUUACGAAACACGCGGCAAGGAGAGAAAACAAUUGGAGGAAAACGAAGGGGGGAUUACUGCUUCGCACUGCCAAACGAGAUAAAAGAGAGAGAGAGAGAGAGAGAGAGAAAAGAAAACAACGGAAGCUCAACGUUUGUCUCGCGUUCAUUGCGCGAAGGAACCCCCUGAUCCUGUCGAGCGAUCGUCGGAAGCACCGCGGUGUUCAUUGUAAUCCACAUAGUGGUAUCCCGAGAGAGAAAGAGAGAAUGAGAGCGAGAGAGAAUGAAAUAAAAGAAAAAAUGAGAAACAAUACGUGUAGGAGAUAAUAUACUUAGGUAAAGCGCACGCGAAGAUUUUUUAAAUCCGAUUAUUAAGCGCGAGAAACAGAGAGAGAAGAAAAGGAGAAACUAACGCGUCGAACAGUGCUUUUGACUUUUUGGAUACUUUCAUGUACAAAACACGAAUGACGGUUUAUAGCUCAAGGAGAACAUUAAAGAGACAGAUAUUGUAAGAGAGUAAUAAUAAUUUGACGGUUACGAUAUCGUAA